CACGUGGUAUCCUGUCUGAAUAUGGGGGGACCAUCCUCCAAGGCUAAAUACUCCUGACUGACCGAUAGUGAACCAGUACCGUGAGGGAAAGGCGAAAAGAACCCCGGCGAGGGGAGUGAAAAAGAACCUGAAACCGUGUACGUACAAGCAGUGGGAGCACGCUUAGGCGUGUGACUGCGUACCUUUUGUAUAAUGGGUCAGCGACUUAUAUUCUGUAGCAAGGUUAACCGAAUAGGGGAGCCGAAGGGAAACCGAGUCUUAACUGGGCGUUAAGUUGCAGGGUAUAGACCCGAAACCCGGUGAUCUAGCCAUGGGCAGGUUGAAGGUUGGGUAACACUAACUGGAGGACCGAACCGACUAAUGUUGAAAAAUUAGCGGAUGACUUGUGGCUGGGGGUGAAAGGCCAAUCAAACCGGGAGAUAGCUGGUUCUCCCCGAAAGCUAUUUAGGUAGCGCCUCGUGAAUUCAUCUCCGGGGGUAGAGCACUGUUUCGGCAAGGGGGUCAUCCCGA
rnacentral:rRNA from 1 species